rnacentral:rRNA from 1 species
UACGUAGGGAGCAAGCGUUGUCCGGAAUCAUUGGGCGUAAAGCGCGCGUAGGUGGCCCUGUAAGUCCGUUGUGAAAGUCAAAGGCUCAACCUUUGAAAGCCGAUGGAUACUGCAGGGCUAGAGUACGGAAGAGGCGAGUGGAAUUCCUGGUGUAGCGGUGGAAUGCGCAGAUAUCAGGAGGAACACCGAUGGCGAAGGCAGGUCUCUGGGCUGAAACUGACGCUCAUGCACGAAAGCGUGGGGAGCAAACAGG